AUGCUCACUUUGGUAACACAUAUACUAAAAUUUGAAUGAUACAGAGAUUAGCAUGGCCCCUGUGCAAGAAUGACAUGCAAAUUCUUUAAGCUUUCCAUAUUUAA